rnacentral:rRNA from 1 species
CGUGAGAUGUUGGGUUAAGUCCCGCAACGAGCGCAACCCCUAUCCUUUGUUGCCAGCACGCAAUGGUGGGAACUCAAAGGAGACUGCCGCGGACAACGCGGAGGAAGGCGGGGAUGACGUCAAGUCAUCAUGCCCCUUAUGUCCUGGGCUACACACGUACUACAAUGGGAUGGACAGAGAGCAGCGAAGCCGCGAGGCCAAGCGAACCCCAUAAACCAUCUCCCAGUUCGGAUUGCAGGCUGCAACCCGCCUGCAUAAGUACGGUCGAGUCGCUAGUAAU